rnacentral:rRNA from 1 species
AACGAACGCUGGCGGCAGGCUUAACACAUGCAAGUCGAGCGCAGGAAACUGACGGAACUCUUCGGAGGGAAGGCAGUGGAAUGAGCGGCGGACGGGUGAGUAACACGUAAGGAACCUGCCUCAAGGAUUGGGAUAACUCCGAGAAAUCGGAGCUAAUACCGGAUAGUUCAACGGACCGCAUGGUCCGCUGAUGAAAGGCGCUCCAGCGUCACCUUGAGAUGGCCUUGCGGUGCAUUAGCUAGUUGGUGGGGUAACGGCCCACCAAGGCGACGAUGCAUAGCCGACCUGAGAGGGUGAUCGGCCACACUGGGACUGAGACACGGCCCAGACUCCUACGGGAGGCAGCAGUAGGGAAUCUUCCACAAUGGACGAAAGUCUGAUGGAGCAACGCCGCGUGAGUGAUGAAGGUUUUCGGAUCGUAAAACUCUGUUGUAAGGGAAGAACACGUACGAGAGGAAAUGCUCGUACCUUGACGGUACCUUACGAGAAAGCCACGGCUAACUACGUGCCAGCCGCCGCAGUAAGAC